GACUCGGUGAAGGGAGGAUGUAAAUCUCGCUCCGCCGCUCCUUCGUCUGUGAAAGUUUAACGCUUCUUUGGUCCGUCACGAGGAAAGGAGAAGAUAUUACACCAGCAGGAGCGGCGAGGCGUGGGGAGGUGUCUGGGUGGCCUGUGUGGCAGCGAGGUGCAAGUGUAGGUGGUGUGUGUGACUCUGUGUGGACGAGGUGUGAUGUGACACGGUGGUGUGUGUAGUGGGAACUGUUCUAUUAUGUGAAGGGAACUUGAUACCGGAUUAUGAAAGUGAUGAAGGGUUGCGAGAAAGGAUUGUAUUGAUCGAAGGUAUAAUGUGAAGAACUUAUUCGUGACAUGUUAGGGAUUAAUUCACCUGCUUGUUCACUGGUUUAUCUAUUUAUUUGUUUAUUUGUCUAUGUAUUAGGAAGAUAGGCUAGUAGGAUGCAAAGUAAUAAGUAAGAUCUCACUUGUAAUGCUGAUUUUCCAAAAUAAAACUACAGAAGAAUCG